rnacentral:rRNA from 1 species
UACGGAGGAUGCAAGUGUUAUCCGGAUUUAUUGGGCGUAAAGCGUCCGCAGGUGGCUAUUCAAGUCUGCUGUCAAAGCUCGGAGCUUAACUCCGAAUCGGCGGUGGAAACUGAACAGCUAGAGUGCAGUAGGGGUAGAGGGAAUUCCCAGUGUAGCGGUGAAAUGCGUAGAGAUUGGGAAGAACACCGGUGGCGAAAGCGCUCUACUGGACUGCAACUGACACUCAGGGACGAAAGCUAGGGGAGCGAAUGGG